rnacentral:rRNA from 1 species
AUACGUAGGUGGCAAGCGUUGUCCGGAUUUACUGGGCGUAAAGGGCGCGCAGGCGGCCUAUCAAGUCCGGGGUGAAAGCUCCCGGCUCAACCGGGAGAGGUCUUCGGAUACUGAUAGGCUUGAGGGGAGCAGAGGAGAGCGGAAUUCCCGGUGUAGCGGUGAUAUGCGUAGAUAUCGGGAGGAACACCAGUGGCGAAGGCGGCUCUCUGGGCUCUCCCUGACGCUGAGGCGCGAAAGCGUGGGGAGCAAACCGGAUUAGAAACCCGAGUAGUCC